GGAGAGGUGUCCGAGUGGUUGAUGGUGCCGCUCUCGAAAAGCGGUUGGCGAAAGCCACGGGGGUUCGAAUCCCCCCCUCUCCG
rnacentral:tRNA from 1 species